GAGCUUGCUGGGGCUGUUCGCUGAGAGAACGUGACCGUUUUGUUAAAAGCAUCUUUGGUUCGCCCUUGACGGCUCCGGCCCGGGCGGUAAAUGCUUUUAACGCUGACAGCCCCGUUAGGCAGCGCUGCCGCCGGUCCGCAGACAGAGCAGAGCACGGGCAUGGGCUUCCUACAUGACCAACUCGCCGACGCUGAUCGUGAUGAUCGGGCUGCCCGCGCGGGGCAAGACCUACAUGUCCAAAAAGCUCACCCGCUACCUCAACUGGAUCGGGGUGCCCACCAAAGUGUUUAAUUUAGGGGUGUACCGGCGCGAGGCCGUCAAGUCCUACAAGUCCUACGACUUCUUCAGGCACGACAACAAAGAGGCCAUGGAAAUCCGCAAGCGCUGUGCCCUGGUGGCUCUGGAGGAUGUGAAGUCUUAUCUCUUGGAGGAGUCUGGGCAAAUAGCUGUGUUUGAUGCGACCAACACGACUCGGGAGCGACGGGACCUGAUCUUAAAUUUUGCCAAGGAAAACGCGUUCAAGGUGUUCUUCGUGGAGUCUGUGUGUGAUGAUCCAGAGGUGAUCGCUGCCAAUAUCCUGGAGGUGAAAGUUUCCAGCCCUGACUACCCAGAGAUUCACCGGGAGAAUGUGAUGGACGAUUUCCUGAAGAGGAUCGAGUGCUACAAGGUCACCUACCAGCCCCUGGACCCCGAUGCUUAUGACAAAGAUCUUUCCUUCAUUAAAGUGAUCAACGUGGGCCAGCGCUUCCUGGUGAACCGAGUGCAGGAUUACAUCCAGAGCAAGAUCGUUUAUUACCUGAUGAACAUCCACGUGCAGCCCCGCACCAUCUACCUGUGCCGGCACGGAGAGAGCGAGUACAACCUGCUGGGCAGGAUUGGGGGCGACUCUGGCCUGUCUGCCCGGGGCAAGCAGUUCUCCCAGGCUCUGAAGAAGUUCAUCGAGGAGCAGGAGAUCGUGGAGCUGAAGGUGUGGACGAGCCAGCUGAAGAGAACAAUCCAGACAGCCGAGUCCCUGGGGGUGCUCUACGAGCAGUGGAAGAUCCUCAAUGAGAUCGAUGCUGGGGUCUGUGAAGAAAUGACUUAUGCAGAAAUUGAAGCCAAGUAUCCAGAGGAGUUUGCCAUGAGGGAUCAGGAUAAAUAUCUUUAUCGUUACCCUGGAGGGGAGUCCUACCAGGACCUGGUGCAGCGCCUGGAGCCGGUAAUUAUGGAGCUGGAGAGGCAAGGCAACGUCCUGGUCAUCUCCCACCAGGCAGUUAUGAGGUGUCUCCUGGCUUAUUUUCUUGACAAGAGUGCAGAUGAGCUGCCCUACCUGCGCUGCCCCCUGCACACCAUCCUCAAGCUCACACCUGUUGCCUACGGCUGCAAAGUGGAGACAAUCACCCUGAACGUGGAAGCAGUGAACACCCACCGGGACAAGCCCUCCCUGAACUCACUCGACCUCCCCAGCAGGCAGAGCCCUGUGAGGAUGAGGAGGAACAGCUUCACCCCGCGGCACCACAGCCUGGGCAGCAAACCCCUGCACCUGCUGGGGCCUCUCCCAGCCCUGCAAGCUCGAGAAGGGGCUGAGCAGCCACAGCUGGAAGUCUCUGUGCAGGUGGUACCUUCCCUGUGCUCCCCUCCCCACCAUCGCUGGGACCCCCACCGGCACCUCCAGCACUUUUUGUUGUUCCUGCAUGGAAAUCAUCCAGCCUGGAUUGGAUUAGGGGGAAAAAACAAUCAGGAAAGUCCCUCAAAACCAGCCCCAAAGCAUAAAAAUGCCCCCCAUCCAGCUGGAGUUGUGGUGGCAGUCUUUCAGAGCCAGGUUUCCAUCCUGGGUUUUUGGCAGGGGGGUUAAUCCUGGGUUUUGCUUCUGGAAAAGUUCCAGCUCCCCUCUUUGUCCCAGUUUUUACUGCAGCCAAGUGAUGGCCCUGCCUUCUCUCACCUCCUGCUCUGACACAAACCUGCCCUGGGCUGAAAUGACAUUUUGGGGCUGUUUCACUCCUCCCCUCCUUUGCUUUGCUGCUUUUCCCGUUUCAGUCUCCUUUAAGAUGCACUACGAGCCCUGCUGUGCUUCUCUGUUUCCUUUGCAGCCUCCAGAGGGAAAUGCUUGCCCCUGAGUGCCACUGCCAGCAGCUUGGGUGUGCUCUCUUUGGGAAAAUGUCCACUUUAGCAGUGUAAGGCUUCCUGCU